CCUACGUGUGGCAGCAGUGGGGAAUAUUGCGCAAUGGGCGAAAGCCUGACGCAGCGACGCCGCGUGCGGGAUGAAGGUCUUCGGAUCGUUAACCUCUGUCAGCAGGGAGGAACGGUCACUGUGCUAAUCAGCAGUGAAUUGAAGGUACCUGCAAAGGAAGCACCGGCUAACUCCGUGCCAGCAGCCGCGGUAAUACGGAGGGUGCGAGCGUUAAUCGGAAUUACUGGGCGGAAAGCGCUCGUAGGCGGUAUGUCAAGUCAAGGGUGAAAUCCCCGGGCUCAACGUGGGAACUGCCUUUGAAACUGGCAAACUGGAGUGUGUGAGCGGCUAGUGGAAUUCCAGGUGUAGGAGUGAAAUCCGUAGAUAUCUGGAGGAACAUCAGUGGCGAAGGCGACUAUCUGGCACAUAACUGACGCUGAGGAGCGAAAGCGUGGGUAGCAAACAGGAGUAGAUACCCCUGUAGUC
rnacentral:rRNA from 1 species